rnacentral:rRNA from 1 species
AUUGAACGCUGGGGGCAGGCCUAACACAUGCAAGUCGAGCGGUUGACGGGAGCUUGCUCCCUGAUUCAGCGGCGGACGGGUGAGUAAUGCCUAGGAAUCUGCCUAUUAGUGGGGGACAACGUUUCGAAAGGAACGCUAAUACCGCAUACGUCCUACGGGAGAAAGCAGGGGACCUUCGGGCCUUGCGCUAAUAGAUGAGCCUAGGUCGGAUUAGCUUGUUGGUGAGGUAAUGGCUCACCAAGGCGACGAUCCGUAACUGGUCUGAGAGGAUGAUCAGUCACACUGGAACUGAGACACGGUCCAGACUCCUACGGGAGGCAGCAGUGGGGAAUAUUGGACAAUGGGCGAAAGCCUGAUCCAGCCAUGCCGCGUGUGUGAAGAAGGUCUUCGGAUUGUAAAGCACUUUAAGUUGGGAGGAAGGGUUGUAGAUUAAUACUCUGCAAUUUUGACGUUACCGACAGAAUAAGCACCGGCUAACUCUGUGCCAGCAGCCGCCGUAA